rnacentral:rRNA from 1 species
UACAGAGGGUGCGAGCGUUUGUCCGGAAUCACUGGGCGUAAAGGGCGCGUAGGCGGUCUGCUAAGCGUGUGGUGAAAGCCCGGGGCUCAACCCCGGGUCGGCCGUGCGAACUGGUGGACUGGAGCUUGUCAGAGGCAGGCGGAAUUCCGGGUGUAGCGGUGGAAUGCGUAGAGAUCCGGAAGAACACCCGUGGCGAAAGCGGCUCUCUGGAACGGUACUGACGCUGAGACGCGAAAAGCGUGGGGAGCGAACAGG